rnacentral:lncRNA from 1 species
CUCAUAUACAGGUUUGCCUGACAUGCUGAGGCAGGGUUUUUGACUCCCUUCCGUUCAUUCUGAAGUUCGGAUUUCAGAAAUAGAUAACACACUGGCAUUGGCCACAGUCUCUCAGGACCAGCUCACGAAGUCUUUCAGGACAAAGGUUUUGUCUUAACGCUCAAAGAUCUGCAGGACCCUGUAUGGUAGAAGAAACAUAUCAUUGUAUUUAGAAACUUCUCUAUACAUACAGGAAUUUGACAACAGUUUGUGCCACUUAUGGAUUUAAAGAACUGGCACCUUGAAUGGGAUUCUGAAUAGAAUUCGUACAGAUGGAAUGUAAAUAUCACCCUGAACUGAAUUGGCCCUCAUCCUGUCCAGCCAAUCUGGAAAUGUCUGGUUUGUCUCCUGGGAGCACUCCCCAAAGAACCUUCUACACACAGUUCUCCAACUCAAAGUCUGUUUUCAGGGAAUCCAAUUCAAGACAGGGAUAGUUGGAAGUCACAACCGUUCCAUGGACUUUGAUGUUCUUGAUAUUCAUUCUUGGUAUUGGCAUUAUGAGUUGUGACACUAGGAGGAGUCUCCAAGUGACUUUGAAAUGAGAAGACAGGAACAAAGAGGUGUCAUACAUCCCUCACAGAUGGUCAGAAAUAUCUAAAGAGUUUUUGCCAAAGAGAUAGGGUCCUGAAUGGGCAGCAGGGUUAAGAGAAAAAUGUGUAGUUAUUAAUGUUAAUGAGACAUCCUUUGCUACAAGAUGAUGGUGAGGUCUCAAGGAGAUCUAGGUUAUAUUUACAAGGGAUCACUCCAAUUACUACAUGUCCGUCUUUUCUAAAAUUAGACUUUAUUGUGCUCUAUUAAAAUAGCUUUAUCUUUAGAAGAGAGUUUCUCAAAAUGUGAUUUGGGGACCACCUGCAUCAGGAACACCUGAGAAUUUGUUAAAGUUGCAGAUUCUAGAGCCCCAUCUCAUGCUUACUGAACCAGAAUCUCUGGGAAUCUGCAUGUUUAUUUAACAAGUUUUUCAAAGCUUGCAUGUUUAGCCAGCUUUUAAAGUAAAAGUUUUCAACUGCUUUAGUUGGUAAAGGGUUUCUUUUGCAGAUGAUGAAAAUCUUCUGGAAUUGGAUAGAGGUGAUGGCUUCACAACAUUGUGAAUAUAUUAAAAACCACUGAAAUGAUUUCAGUUAAAAUGGUCAAUUUUAUGUUUUUUGAAUUUAUCUCAAUUAAAAAAAUAAAACUAGAGGGACAGAAAUUACAUCGCCAGAGGCUGCAGCUAGGAGGAGGGAAUGGAAUGCAAAAGAUCACAAGGUAAUUUGGGGGGCUUGAGGAAAAUGUUUUAAAUAUUGAUUGUGAUGGUGGUUACACAUACAAUGGCCAAUCUCAUGGAACUAUAUAACCCAAAAGGUAAAUUUUACUACAUAGAAGUUAUUUCUCAGUAAACCUGGCUAUAAAUAAACACAUAAAUAAAUAACCUCCAAGAGAUUCUUAGAAACCCUAAAGCUUAAGAACUACUGCUUUUAAGUCGUGGUCUCCAAAAUGAGGACUCACUUCUCCAGGGUUCUGGAAGACAAGCCGCUGGGGUACAGGAAGAAUAUAAUUGAAAUCCUAUUUAUAUUUUUAAAAAUGUUAACAUGAGAAAGAAAUGACAUUUUCCUAACAUUUGGAAAUCCACUUGGAAGGCUUGACUCAUAUUUAUAUAUAGAAUGACAUUGUUGCCCCCAUCCCAUCUGUGUCAUGUCAGGUACACAAGAUGUCCUGGGGGAAGACUGAGCAUUGCAUAAUGACCUUGUUGACCUCUGUGAUCUCAUUCAUUCACUUGCUUGUAGCAUAAUGCCACAUACUGCAGUUUACAGGGAUUUAUGACUUAUAAUGUCUAGUUUUAAAUAAACUAAUCCUCAAACCAAAAACAAAUGAUUUUUAAAUAUCUCUGCAAAGCAGCUCCUGAUUGAAGA